UACUUUGGAGAAAGCGAAGCAUAGCUGCCGUUAUGAAAAUACUGGACAGGUUGUAUAAAGAAUCCUUCUUAAAUAUAUCCAACACAGGAAUCCCACUCCAUGCAAAUAUGACCAUGGCCUGCAAAAACAGGAGAAAAAAGGUCCAAAGACGGUCAUAGCUUCGGAAGAUAUGCCAAAAUGACCGUGUCUCAACAAAGUAUGAUUUUCCCAUUUUUCCAGGUUUUUUAUUAGCAGCUCCUUUUCC
rnacentral:lncRNA from 1 species